GACGAACGCUAGCUACAGGCUUAACACAUGCAAGUCGAGGGGCAGCGCAGUGUAGCAAUACAUGGGCGGCGACCGGCGCACGGGUGCGUAACGCGUAUCCAACCUUCCCGUUACUCAGGGAUAGCCUUCCGAAAGGGAGAUUAAUACCUGAUGGUGUUUGAAUUCCGCAUGUUAUUCAAACUAAAGAUUUAUCGGUAACGGAUGGGGAUGCGUGACAUUAGGUAGAUGGCGGGGUAACGGCCCACCAUGCCUACGAUGUCUAGGGGUUCUGAGAGGAAGGUCCCCCACACUGGAACUGAGACACGGUCCAGACUCCUACGGGAGGCAGCAGUGAGGAAUAUUGGUCAAUGGGACGAAAGUCUGAACCAGCCAAGUCGCGUGAAGGAUGAAGGUUCUAUGGAUUGUAAACUUCUUUUGUCUGAGGGUAAAAAAGCGGACGUGUCCGUUCUUGCAAGUAUCAGACGAAUAAGCAUCGGCUAACUCCGUGCCAGCAGCC
rnacentral:rRNA from 1 species